rnacentral:rRNA from 1 species
UACGGAGGGUGCAAGCGUUAUCCGGAUUCACUGGGUUUAAAGGGUGCGUAGGUGGAUUAGUAAGUCAGUGGUGAAAUCUCCGGGCUUAACCCGGAAACUGCCAUUGAUACUAUUAGUCUUGAAUACCGUGGAGGUCAGCGGAAUAUGUCAUGUAGCGGUGAAAUGCUUAGAUAUGACAUAGAACACCAAUUGCGAAGGCAGCUGGCUACACGAGCAUUGACACUCAGGCACGAAAGCGUGGGGAUCAAACAGG